GAUGAACGCUGGCGGCGUGCCUAAUACAUGCAAGUCGAGCGAACAGACGAGGAGCUUGCUCCUCUGACGUUAGCGGCGGACGGGUGAGUAACACGUGGAUAACCUACCUAUAAGACUGGGAUAACUUCGGGAAACCGGAGCUAAUACCGGAUAAUAUAUUGAACCGCAUGGUUCAAUAGUGAAAGACGGUUUUGCUGUCACUUAUAGAUGGAUCCGCGCCGCAUUAGCUAGUUGGUAAGGUAACGGCUUACCAAGGCAACGAUGCGUAGCCGACCUGAGAGGGUGAUCGGCCACACUGGAACUGGGACACGGUCCAGACUCCUACGGGAGGCAGCAGUAGGGAAUCUUCCGCAAUGGGCGAAAGCCUGACGGAGCAACGCCGCGUGAGUGAUGAAGGUCUUCGGAUCGUAAAACUCUGUUAUUAGGGAAGAACAAAUGUAUAAGUAACUAUGCACGUCUUGACGGUACCUAAUCAGAAAGCCACGGCUAACUACGUG
rnacentral:rRNA from 1 species